rnacentral:rRNA from 1 species
GACGAACGCUGGCGGCGUGCCUAAUACAUGCAAGUCGAACGCAGUGGGGACGGGUGAGUAAAAAGUGGGUAACCUCCCAUCAGAGGGGAUAACACUUGGAAACAGGUGCUAAACCGAUCCUGGAGGAUGGACCCGCGGUGCAUUAGCUAGUUGGUGAGGUAGAGGCUCACCAAGGCCACGAUGCAUAGCUGGCCUGAGAGGGUGAUCGGCCACACUGGGACUGAGAAACGGUCCAGACUCCUACGGGAGGCAGGAGUAGGGAAUCUUGGGCAAUGGGCGAAAGUCUGACCGAGCAACGCCGCGUGAGUGAAGAAGGUUUUCGGAUCGUAAAACUCUGUUGUUAGGGAAGCGUUAUCUAAACAGAAAGCCACGGCUAACUACGUGCCAGCAGCCGCGGUAAUAC